UUGAUUUCAUUUUGAAAUGAGAAGAGAAAGAGAGCUCUAAAACUCUCAACUCUCAUCAGAAGAGAGAAACUUCGCUGCCGCCGCCGGCAGCCCCGGCUGUGCUCACGGCGACGCACGGCGACCGACACAACACUGAACACCCUAAAACAUUCUCCUCACCACCCUAUACCUAAAUCCCAAGCCAUCUCAACCUAAAAGUGACCCUAGCCCCAUAGAUCUUCCAUUUACCUUUCGAAUGAAAUAGAAAACAUGACGAUCGUGGGGCUUCCACGGCGGACCCAAGGGGAAGACGACGGCGGCGGCGACAGCAAUGACAGGCGGCUGGGGAAGCCAGCAGCGACGGCUCACGCGGCUCAGGGAACGAAUGGUGGAGUGCACGUACGGCUGGGGAAGCCUAAGGGUUGUUGGUGGCGGCUGUUUUAGGGUUAAGGGAUUAAGAUGGAAAUCCUAAUAUGCUUAGGGUUAUUGGGACGGUUCGGGCUUCGGGUCGAGUCCGAUCAUUUGUAACUAGGUCGGAUCCUGGGCCGGUUGGGUUGGGUCUCAAUUUCAUAUUGGGUUGUUGGCUGUUGGGUCAACAGCUUGGGUUGAUGGGUUUUGGGGUUUGGGCCUUGUAUAUGGGCUGUUGGGGCUUGUUGGGCUUCCGGUAUUAAACCUGCAAAAAAAAUGUAAUAUGUAUUAAUAAUAAUAAUUAAUAAUAAUAAUAAUAAUA